AUGUCACAGGCACUGGAUCCUCUAGGCAUCCAGUUCGUCGAUCUGAUUGUUCAUACUCUCAAGAGAUUUCAGCUGGUCAUUAAGAAAGAUCGUUUGAUUCCCCUACGAAGUUGUGAUUCCAGUUACGGAGUUACCAUUAUCAGCAACAUUAUUUUAAAAGUUCUGAUCUAUUGUUCUGCUCUAAUUGUGCCAGGAGGAUAUUAUCCAUCGGAUGGACGUGUUGAACUUGAACCCACAGACCUGCCGGACCUUGUUGGAAAGCUGAUGUUUGAUAAACACCUAUAUGCUCGGGUGCUUGAUGAACCUGCCCCUUCGGCACCUACCCUGUUGCAGAGUAUUUUGAAGCAAGAUCGCUGUAAAGAACCAUCCAAGUGUAACAAGCGUUACUUUGCUAACCCAACAAGUACAUUUCUGCUAUAGACAGAUGCGC
rnacentral:lncRNA from 1 species